rnacentral:lncRNA from 10 species
ACGGCGCCCACCCAGGGCACUGCUCUUUGGCCACUGCUCGUUGGCACAGGGAUGGCGGGAGCAGGACUGAGGCCAGUCCUGAUCCCUGUGGCCAGUGGACGUCUUGCUGUUUCAGAUUGUCUUCCAUGGGUCAAGAAGCACGCGGUGCUCUCAUGGGUCCCCUGUUAAUAAAAUGACCCUCCUGGGAGGGAUGUCACGUGAUGGUUGGAUUUCACAGCGGGUAACUUGGGGGCCGGUAAUUCCAUCCCCCUGCUCUUGCCCGAGUUUCCGUGCCAGUGUGCUUGGCUGGCUCUGUGACGUGGCUCUGUUCUCCCUGCACUGGGCACACCCAGCAGGCCCCACCAGUCAUGAGCAUGCUGCUAGAAUUUCUAUAGGCAAAUUAUUUCCCCAUGCCAAUUUAGUUAGAUGGUUUUGUUUUGUGCUUUUUUUUCUGGUUUCUGUUUAAUAUUUUUUAAAUGCCAUGCCUUUUAUAUUUUCUUUUAAAACAUUUAUAAUAAGUACUAAAAUCAGUCAUCAGCUGAGGGUGUAAUUUAUUCUGUUUUUGCUGGGUUGUAAGUUCCUCGAGGGUAGGAACUGUCCUUCUCCCAGCCAUGGCCGCCCAGCAUUGGGCUGGUGCAGUAGGGGGGUGCUCAGUGGGGUGUGUGUGGAGUGAAGUGAGCCCAAUUCCACAGAUGGGACCAUGCGGCCCUCAUGGCAGACUAGGGUCACAUGCUGCCUCCUGACCCUGUGUCACUGCAGGUCAUCUUCCCCAAGCCAGGCCCUGUUCCAGGCUGGCCUGAGACAGUCUUCCCUGAUGGAGGUACCAUGAGAAGACCAAGGACAGGAGAGUGUGUGUGAGAGUGUGUAUGAGUGUGUGUGAGUGUGUGAAUGAGUGAGUGUGUGAGAGUGUGAGUGGGUUUGAGGGAGUGUGUGAGUGUGUGCGUGUGUGAGUGAGUGCGUGUGUGAGUGAGUGUGCGUGUGUGUGUGAGAGAGUGUGAGUGUGUAUGAGUGAGAGUGUGAGAGUGGGUGUGGGUGUGAGGGAGUGUGAGUGCGCGCGCGCGUGUGUGAGUGUAUGAGUGUGAGAGUGAGUGUGAGUGAGUGAGAGUGGGUGUGGGUGUGAGAGUGUGAGUGUGAGAGUGUGAGUGUGUGAGUGUGAGAAUAAAGUAGACACUUUUUGCACUCUUGCUACGUGCGAGGCACUGGGCAGGACACUCUCCAUGUGUAAUUCUCAACACACCCCGGGAGGUAGAUUUAUCAUUAUUUCCAUUUGAGAGAGGAGGGACCAACUUAGGUGUGGGUGAGCGUGAUUUGUACGUUAUCUACACGCAUCUCUCAGGGUUAGCUUGGCAAAUGCUGUUUCAGGGCAUGGUUGGUUCUUUAAUCUGGAAACAUCAUUUUUGGUGUCAAGAAUGUUCUUUUGUAGGAUCCCAGUGAGAGUGGAGAGCGGAGAGUGGAGAGUGGAAGGCAUCCCUUGUUCAUGCCUUCAUACUUGGCAACCCUAGCCCCGCCCAGGGACUCUGCAGCCAUCUGGGGGGAGGGGCGUCCUCCUGACAGGCCCAGGACAGAAGACCCUACCCCAACAGUCCCAGAGUCCGCCCCCCAGGAUGUCCUAACCCCACCCACCCUGUGCGCAGCAGUUUUAGGGCAGGGUCCUUGAGCCUGUGGCCAUGGGAUCCAGGGCCUCAACUUUCCCCUCUGACUCCUGUUGGGUCUCAGGCGAUGUAAAGAACUAAAGUGCAAGCUGUGCCUGCACUGUGGAUCCCAGCUACGUGGGAGGCCGAGGUGGGAGGAUCACUGGAGCCCAGGAGUUCGAAUCCAGCCUGGGCCACAGAGCAAGCAAGACCCCCACCCCCCAACCCCCCGCCGCUCUCUAAAGAAAAAAAAACUAAACUAAAACACAGGAUAGAGUGCCUUCUCCUGCCCAGGACCUCAGAGCUGGUAUCGUGGUGGGAGGCUCCUACUUUGCCGAGGAUUCCCCAAGCUGGUUUCUUGAAGCCCCUCAGAGCCCUCCACAUCUGCACACUACGAAGAGAUUUUUCCUCCCGCAGCAGCGGAGCUGGGGGGUGGCGGGGCACCUAGUGAGGGAGACAUUCUCAAGCCAAUGGCAGCAAGGGUCUACACUGCAGGGGGCCUGGCUGCUGAGUGGCCUGGAGCCAAUGGGGGUGGGGCCAGGCAGCCCAUGGCCCCUGGCCAUCAAG